rnacentral:rRNA from 1 species
AGCAGCCGCGGUAAUUCCAGCUCCAAUAGCGUAUAUUAAAGUUGUUGCAGUUAAAAAGCUCGUAGUUGAAUUUCGGGAUCAAUUCGUCGGUCGUGCUUUUUGGUACGUACUGGUGUUAUUGGUUUCUCCUUCUGACAAGCCAUGAUGUCAUUAAUUUGGUGUUAUGGGGAGUUAGGACUGUUACUUUGAAAAAAUUAGAGUGUUUAAAGCAGGCAUUAGCUUGAAUACAUUAGCAUGGAAUAAUGAAAUAGGACGUUCGAACCUAUUUUGUUGGUUUCUAGGAUCAACGUAAUGAUUAAUAGGGAUAGUUGGGGGCAUUAGUAUUCAAUUGUCAGAGGUGAAAUUCUUGGAUUUAUUGAAGACUAACUACUGCGAAAGCAUUUGCCAAGGAUGUUUUCAUUAAUCAAGAACGAAAGUUAGGGGAUCGAAGACGAUCAGAUACCGUCGUAGUCUUAACCAUAAACUAUGCCGACUAGGGAUCGGAUGAUGUUAAUUUUUUAAUGACUCAUUCGGCGCCUUA